rnacentral:tRNA from 1 species
GGUUACGUAGCUCAGCUGGAUAGAGCAAGCGACUUCUAAUCGCUAGGUCGAGGGUUCGAGUCCUUCCGUAAUCGCCA